rnacentral:rRNA from 1 species
UACAGAGGUCCCAAGCGUUGUUCGGAUUCACUGGGCGUAAAGGGUGCGUAGGCGGUCGGGUAAGUCUGAUGUGAAAUCUCACAGCUUAACUGUGAAACUGCAUUGGAUACUAUCCGGCUCGAGGAAUGGAGGGGAGACUGGAAUACUUGGUGUAGCAGUGAAAUGCGUAGAUAUCAAGUGGAACACCAGUGGCGAAGGCGGUUCUCUGGGCAUUACCUGACGCUGAGGAGCGAAAGUGUGGGGAGCGAACAGG